CUAGCGAAUAGCAAACUGUACCAACCAUACCUGUGUGCUAAGUAGCCCACAUCGCUGUACUUCAAUUAACGACACUCGUAGAUCAACUUUGUUUCACACCCAAACGUCUUUUCUCAGAAUCCAACUCUGCGGGCACACUGGCGUUUCCCUCUGUUGAUGGCUGCUACCUCCCAAAGCAAGAAAAUGUAUUUGUGCAUACGGUGCUCGACGAGCUGGAUGCCUUUCUACAAAGAGACGACCUGAAGAGUGUCCUUCUCUUUCCACCGCUUCCAAGUCGACUACGCUACUUGAUCCACAGAACGGUUGAGAACCACCUCAACCUCAGCACGUUUUCUGUCGGCCAAGGCUGGUGCCGUAGAGUGGUAGUGUGCUUUUCCCACCUCAGGUUGCCAUCUGAGGACGACAGCGACACGGACACGGGCACGGACUCCAGUGCAUGUGAGGCUGCUCUCAGCUGGUACGAUCAGCCAAUGGAGAGCAGCCGAGCCGGCGGAGGAGGAGGGUCAUCGGAGCGGCGGCAUUCGCGCGGCCGAGGGUCCCGUCGUCCCGACCAGGCCAUCUACGUCCCACGCGCACUGAGGGAACGCAGCGGCGGCGGAGGUCAGCAAGGGGUCACGACCUCCUCGUCCUCCGCGGAGCGCGCAGAGAGCGUCUCGUCCAGCCUCAGCGUCAGCACCACCGACGAGUCCUGCCCGGACUCCGCCGCCACGAACCCGACCGGCCAGAACCCGGCAGCGCUGGACCCGCUGGACGAUUCGGGCGGUCAGGAACUUUUUGUGCAGCUGUCGGGCCCGGGCUCCGACCCCUGCCCCUGGCCGGCCGCGUGGGACCAGACGGUGUCGUACUUCGUCAGCAUGAGUCUGGACGACCAGGCGGAUGAGGAGCAAGAGGUGGAGGAGGAAGAAGAGGAGGAGGAGGAAGAUGCGAGCGUUAGGAGCAGCAGCAGCAGCAGCACAGGCGCACCUCCUUCCAUCGCCUCCAGUGACAGAGAGAGCAUAGCCGGAGACCUGGCCCAGGAGAUCAUGUCAAAGCUGACCGAGGAAGACAUCAGCAUUGAGCCAGUACAGCAUGAUUACUCCACCUUUGAGAACGUGUGGCUCAAUGAGGAAGACUUCUCCCACGUCAUUGAGAUCUAUGACUUCCCCGCCAUGUUUAAAACCGAUGACCUGAUGGACGCAUUCACUGAUUACAGUGGUGGGGGCAUGAAGAUCAAGUGGGUGGACAACACGCAUGCACUCGGCGUAUUCUCAAACGAAACAGCAGCUGCACAGGCCCUGUCCAUCAGACACCCCCUACUGAAGACCCGCCCUCUCUCAAAAGCCAGCAAGAAGUCCAAAGGGAAAGCCGUCAGGCGAGCAGAGUUCAUCCAACCGGUGAAGGAGCGGCCGCGCACGGACACGGCAGUAGCGCGCCGCAUGGUGACCCGAGCCCUGGGACUGCAGCGCGGGGGAACCAGAGGCAAACGCUUCUGAUACACCUGUACAGGUGAGACUCAUCACACACCUGUCCCCCAGUCUACACACCUACACAGGAUUGCCCCAUCUGGACUGUGACACUAAUAGAAUCUCUCGUAUAACUAUAUAAGAAUAACUCUGUGAUCUCCUUCAAACUGACGUUUUCAGUCAUCCCCUAUUGUAAAUGUAAGCCGUCCAAACAUUUUUUUUUUGUUUGUUUUGUUUUGUUGUUGUUAUUGUACUUCCGGACUAGCUCCAUUAGGUGUGUACAUAUUCCCACCACAAUCCACAUAUAGAUUUCAUAGGACAUAUACUGUUACUGUUACUUCUGACAAAUUAGAAACCUGCAAUUUAGUCACUUCUGUUUUAAACAGCAAUAUACCUGUAUAGCUAACACCACAGUGAUGGCUCAGACUGCCAAAAGACAUCUCUUUGUAGAACAAUGAUCUUUCAUAACCUUCAAAAACAUAACCUCAAGGUGUUUGCACUUUUAACGUUUCUAGUCGUUCUGGAAGCUCUGCCAAAAUGUAGAUCUACUUUUGAAAGGUGUGUGUGUGUGUGUGUGUGUGUGCGUGUGUGUGUGUGUGUGCUGGCAUCCCUUCUGAUCAGGAAGUAAUUAAUUCAGAGAUGCAACUAAUGACAUUUUUAUUGUUAGGUUUCUCCUCCUGCAAAAGCAGAAUGUCGCAAUUGUCACACCUAACCGACUGGUAUUGUGUUUUUAAACCAUAAUUAGCUUGAUUGAUAAAGGCAUCAUUUCAACUGGAAAACAUUUUUUUUCUUUUUUAUUUGUUUCUUUAAGAUUUGACUUUUUUAUUAUUUUUUCAGAGUCAAAUGGGAAUUAUUUGUUUGUUUACUUUGUGUAUUUCCAUAAAAAGUGUUACAUUUUGGCUUGCUUGUGUGUAAAAAAAAAAAAAUUGAAAACAAAGAACACAGGCAUCCCCUUAUCCUCAGCCUGGAAGGAGUCCCACCCAUUUCCCUGGAAACUUGACAAAUAAACUUGCAGAAUGGAUAUUAGAUGGACCGCAUAAUUCACACAAACGCAAUUUGUCGCACAGUACUUCCUCCCCUUCUAGCAACUACACUAAUUGAUUUUGUUCAGUCUUUUGUGUAACAAAGUAUUUUUAUGUUGUUAUUUUGUACAGUAAAAUAAAGAACAUAUUCAAUUUUUAA